UACGUAGGGGGCUAGCGUUGUCCGGAAUCAUUGGGCGUAAAGAGCGUGUAGGCGGCCCGGUAAGUCCGCUGUGAAAGUCAAAGGCUCAACCUUUGAAUGUCAGCGGAUACUGCCGGGCUAGAGUCCGGAAGAGGCGAGUGGAACUCCUGGUGUAGCGGUGGAAUGCGCAGAUAUCGGGAAGAACACCCGUGGCGAAGGCGGCUCUCUGGGACGGUACUGACGCUGAGACGCGAAAGCGUGGGGAGCGAACAGG
rnacentral:rRNA from 1 species